rnacentral:piRNA from 1 species
UGGGUCUUGUUAAAUUGACUGGUGAUGUCC